UACGGGGGGGUAAGCGUUGUUCGGAAUUACUGGGCGUAAAGGCUCGUAGGCGGCCAACUAAGUCAUACGUGAAAUCCCUCAGCUUAACUGGGAACUGCGUGUGAUACUGGAUGGCUUGGAUUGGGAGAGGGAUGCGGAAUUCCAGGUGUAGCGGUGAAAUGCGUAGAUAUCUGGAGGAACACCGGUGGCGAAGGCGGCAAUCCGUGG
rnacentral:rRNA from 1 species